rnacentral:rRNA from 1 species
GAACGCUAGCGGCAGGCCUAACACAUGCAAGUCGAGGGGUAACAGGGAUUGCUUGCAAUCCGCUGACGACCGGCGCACGGGUGCGUAACGCGUAUACAAUCUACCUUUUGCUGGGGGAUAGCCUUUGGAAACGAAGAUUAAUACCCCAUAGUAUGUUGAUGUUGCAUGACAUUAAUAUUAAAGGUUACGGCAAAAGAUGAGUAUGCGUCCUAUUAGCUAGAUGGUGUGGUAACGGCAUACCAUGGCAACGAUAGGUAGGGGCCCUGAGAGGGGGAUCCCCCACACUGGUACUGAGACACGGACCAGACUCCUACGGGAGGCAGCAGUGAGGAAUAUUGGACAAUGGAGGCAACUCUGAUCCAGCCAUGCCGCGUGCAGGAAGACUGCCCUAUGGGUUGUAAACUGCUUUUAUACGGGAAGAAACACUCCCUCGUGAGGGAGCUUGACGGUACCGUAAGAAUAAGGAUCGGCUAACUCCGUGCCAGCAGCCGCGGUAAUACGGAGGAUCCAAGCGUUAUCCGGAAUCAUUGGGUUUAAAGGGUCCGUAGGUUGAUAAUUAAGUCAGAGGUGAAAUCCUGCAGCUUAACUGUAGAAUUGCCUUUGAUACUGGUUAUCUUGAGUUAUUAUGAAGUAGUUAGAAUAUGUAGUGUAGCGGUGAAAUGCAUAGAUAUUACAUAGAAUACCAAUUGCGAAGGCAGAUUACUAAUAAUAUACUGACACUGAUGGACGAAAGCGUGGGUAGC